CUGCCUUUGACAUCCGCUAGGAGCUUCCAGCGUGGCACAACCAAAGGAAGCUCCUCACCACUGAUGAGUCUUCGUGGUGCUAGAGACACCUUCUUGAGGAGCAACAUUCUUUGACUUGUUUGGAGUGGAUUACAACAGAGAAAGUACAACAUGUGCUGUAGAAGAUUACACACAUCCUGCCACACUCCGCAGAUGGCUGAUACAAAAAUCAGAGACAAUGCUAAAAUAAUUAAAAAGCCCACAAAAAUAAGCCAGUGCAUUCAGCUCCUUUGUGAGGCUGAGACUAAGGAAGCUGAGCCAGCCAGCCUGAAAUGCACAAUAUCACUGUAAG